CUUUCCUUCAGGGCUGAUAAGACUCGUUCCCAGGGUGGCAACCCUGUACAAACAUCUACCAAUCCCUCUGACAGCAGCUAAGUCCCUGGCAAUGCUUCCUAGUUGGUGAGCUGCAUUACCAUCUAGAAACACACUGCUGGCCCCAUUGUCCCAGCUCCGAAGCAACCAGGUGAACAGCUUUGUUUGGGCAGCAUGUAAACUCCUUUCUUGAGCCUUGGAUUUCAGUCAUCUUCAGAGUUGGACGAGUAAUGGUAACAGUGACUUCCUCCUCCUCGCUCUCCUCUCCACGUCUCUUAGUUUUUUCCAUUGCCUUUCUCAGUGAUGGUGGUUUUGGGGAGGGCCCCUGGCCUGGAUCUUCCUCUACUUCCUCAGCGUCGUCUUCUUUCUGUUCUGAAUGCGAGGACACCCAUUUCCAUUUCUGUCCCUCCACAGGGCAGCUGACAUCGAAAAUGGUACCUCCUGUGGCUGAUCAGGUUUGAUUUGGAGACUUCCCCCUUUGGCUUGAACCUCAGCUCGGAAACUUUCUCUCUCCAGAAUAGUAUUACACAGAGCUCGGUGUUCAAGAGUGAAAUCCCAUGGCACUGCAGGUCCCCACGCAUCAACCUCUCCAUAUUCCCUGCCAGUCAGCGUUCUCUGGUUUUGGGGAAGACUUCUUCCACAUGACAUGAACAGAGAAGAAUACAUUCAGGGAGACUGGAAACAUGAGCAUGAACGUGAUCACGAACUCGGCAUUCCAAAAACGCGUAAAGAACUGAGAAGAGAGCCUGGAAACUGGUUUGAACAUCGUGUUGUUGGUAAAGUCAGCUAUUCCAUCUGUCAGUAUUCACAUCAUACAACACUGCAGGCGGUGACUGCUGCGGAUGGGGCAGUGGCAGUGGGAAGACGGCGAGGUGGUGGCAGCAGAGCUGGUGAGGUGCUGCUCCCACUGCACAGGAGGCUGCUGCUGAAGGCAACAAACCUCAGGGAGAAGAAAAGGAGGUUGGUGUUUCUCAGGAAAAGGUCAGCAGCAUCCCUUCAGCUGUGAUAGAGGCAGCAUCGAACACCGAAGGGGAAGGAGAAGAACAUGAUGUCAUCAUGAGUGAGUCCAAAGAUACUGCAGCAGAGAUGGGCACUCAGGGCACUGACAGUGAAACCUCCCAAGUUGGAAGUGAGCAGAAACCAGCUGAAGAAAUCCAGACUGCGCCUUCUCAAGGUCAGCCUGCGUCAGCAGGAGACACAGCUUCUGACAUGGCACCGGCCUUUCUCUUUAAGGUCUGGUAAUGAUAGUGGGAAAUGAAAGAAGUUCCUUGCACGGUAGGAAUGAUGUAACAGGACUUGUCCAAGAGGCAGCACUUGUGGGAUUCUGCAACCUUGGGAGAGGAUGUUUGGUUUCUUUCAGGAGUUUCGGGAAGAUUUACUGAAGCUUUACCUGUUUCAUAAACUAUACAUAGAAACUCUGAUGUGAACAUUAACAGCUUGAAUGUUGAAGUUCUGCAUGAUUUUGCGGCAGCUAACAGUGCUGAGCUUAAUUUAAAACAUGGGGAUAUUGUGCUAGUAAUUCCUUCUGAGACCACAGCUGCUCAGAGUUUUACAUGGAGAUCUGGGGAAACGUGCAUUUGCCCCGAGAGAGCACUGAGACCACGCACAAACAGUUCUGUCCUGCAGCUCAAUGGCACAGAGGUGUCCCUAAUGUUCUGCGUGCCUCUUGGAACCUGAGCCUCACACAGCAGUGCUCUUGAACUGCACCAGCCAUCACUUUGAUGCAAGAACCCCACAGUUCCAUGUCAUGUAAAAUGGAUGGCACUUAAGAGAACCAAUAAGAAAUCUUCCUUUUGAGCGAUUGUGCUGCUGAGGAUUUGGAUUGCAGUAUUGCAUGCCAAGAUCUGGCUUAGGCUGAAGUUUCCAGGAAUUUCUGAAAGAGGUAGUUGAAUAUCAACUGACUUUUAGUUUCUAGAAAUUACGAUGGCAGAGAAAACAAGAACUGUAAUUUCUUCUGACUGUCAAUAUGGGAAUGAGAGAAAAGAACACUCGGAAAAAAAUAAUCAGAGAAAAAGAUUGCCUUUUUUCCCCUCAGCUGUGGCAUUCUGUAAUGAUUCCAGCACACUCUAUGCUCUUACUGUGAGGCUGGCUGGUUGGCAGGCAGUAAGGAAUCUGAGUGGCUUCAGUACAGAGAUGCAAAGAGUUCUAAAGGACUUUUCCCAGAGAACUUCACACGCCAUCUGGAACAGCUCUUCU